CGGAAGUUUUCGGAUGGAAGUUGAAUUGACUGAGUGGCGGACGGGUGAGUAACGCGUGGGUAACCUGCCUUGUACUGGGGGACAACAGUUAGAAAUGACUGCUAAUACCGCAUAAGCGCACAGUAUCGCAUGAUACAGUGUGAAAAACUCCGGUGGUACAAGAUGGACCCGCGUCUGAUUAGCUAGUUGGUAAGGUAACGGCUUACCAAGGCGACGAUCAGUAGCCGACCUGAGAGGGUGACCGGCCACAUUGGGACUGAGACACGGCCCAAACUCCUACGGGAGGCAGCAGUGGGGAAUAUUGCACAAUGGGCGAAAGCCUGAUGCAGCGACGCCGCGUGAGUGAAGAAGUAUUUCGGUAUGUAAAGCUCUAUCAGCAGGGAAGAAAAUGACGGUACCUGACUAAGAAGCCCCGGCUAACUACGUGCCAGCAGCCGCGGUAAUACGUAGGGGGCAAGCGUUAUCCGGAUUUACUGGGUGUAAAGGGAGCGUAGACGGUAAAGCAAGUCUGAAGUGAAAGCCCGCGGCUCAACUGCGGGACUGCUUUGGAAACUGUUUAACUGGAGUGUCGGAGAGGUAAGUGGAAUUCCUAGUGUAGCGGUGAAAUGCGUAGAUAUUAGGAGGAACACCAGUGGCGAAGGCGACUUACUG
rnacentral:rRNA from 1 species